CCCAGAGGCAUGUAACAAUGAAAGUCCCCAUCCUGUUGACCUGGUGGAAGUCAUCAUUGAUGCAGACACCGAUGACAUUCCCCACACAAGUGAACUGACAGGAGGAACCGAGGAGGCAUGUAUCUACGAAAGGCACAGGCUGUGAUGUGAGCAUUGUCUUAGGAUUCAUGCCUCUCGGGGUGAAAUUUGAGUCCUGUGUUGGAGGCUUCAGUAUGACAGAAACUUCCUGAAGGCUUCAGUAGGACAAAAAAUUGUUCCUC